rnacentral:misc_RNA from 1 species
AAGACUAUAGACCUGCGGAGUACCUGCGGAAGGAUCAUUAGUGAACGCCCUCGCGGGCUUAUAACUAUUCCAAACCUCUGUGAACCGUGCCCUUCGGGGCUAUUUUACAAACAUGGUGUAAUGAACGUCAUAUAUCAUAACAAAACAAAACUUUUAGCAAUGGAUCUCU